rnacentral:rRNA from 1 species
UGGGGAAUAUUGCACAAUGGACGAAAGUCUGACCGAGCAACGCCGCGUGAGUGAAGAAGGUUUUCGGAUCGUAAAACUCUGUUGUUAGAGAAGAACAAGGACGUUAGUAACUGAACGUCCCCUGACGGUAUCUAACCAGAAAGCCACGGCUAACUACGUGCCAGCAGCCGCGGUAAUACGUAGGUGGCAAGCGUUGUCCGGAUUUAUUGGGCGUAAAGCGAGCGCAGGCGGUUUCUUAAGUCUGAUGUGAAAGCCCCCGGCUCAACCGGGGAGGGUCAUUGGAAACUGGGAGACUUGAGUGCAGAAGAGGGGGGUGGAAUUCCAUGUGUAGCGGUGAAAUGCGUAGAUAUAUGGAGGAACACCAGUGGCGAAGGCGGCUCUCUGGUCUGUAACUGACGCUGAGGCUCGAAAGCGUGGGGAGCAAACAGG